rnacentral:lncRNA from 1 species
ACCAGGGAUCUUCAAGUUGCUGUAAGAUCACUUUUCUGAAUAACUAAUACCUCUCUCUCCCUUUGGGCUACCCUGUCUUCUAGGUGACAGUGAGAUUCUGGUACUCCCCCCAUAGACUGCUGUGCUCCAUGGGAGGCUUCCCGAAGCAUCCUGAGUGAUCUUGGAGGAGGUUCGGAGAAAGGAAUAUUCAGUCACUGAACUCUACUUGAAAGCACAUUCA